rnacentral:rRNA from 1 species
AUGAACGCUGGCGGUGUGCCUAAUACAUGCAAGUCGAGCGAACAGACGAGGAGCUUACUCCUCUGACGUUAGCGGCGGACGGGUGAGUAACACGUGGAUAACCUACCUAUAAGACUGGGAUAACUUCGGGAAACCGGAGCUAAUACCGGAUAACAUGUUGAACCGCAUGGUUCAACAGUGAAAGACGGUCUUGCUGUCACUUAUAGAUGGAUCCGCGUCGCAUUAGCUAGUUGGUAAGGUAACGGCUUACCAGGGCAACGAUGCGUAGCCGACCUGAGAGGGUGAUCGGCCACACUGGAACUGAGACACGGUCCAGACUCCUACGGGAGGCAGCAGUAGGGAAUCUUCCGCAAUGGGCGAAAGCCUGACGGAGCAACGCCGCGUGAGUGAAGAAGGUCUUCGGAUCGUAAAACUCUGUUAUUAGGGAAGAACAAAUGUGUAAGUAACUAUGCACGUCUUGACGGUACCUAAUCAGAAAGCCACGGCUAACUACGUG